rnacentral:lncRNA from 1 species
AUGGCCGAGAGCGAAACACACGGAGCAGCUACUCAGGAGAAGAUGAAAUAUUCAUGGCUUCAAAGCAGAUGGCUUUGUGAAGAGGCCAGACCAGCAUUUUGGGGACGUUUGAAUAAACAUGAAGGUCUUGCAAGAGAAAGAAGUGGAACACAGAUGGACACGCAGUUUCAUCCCUGCAAUGGAUGCCCUGGUCAAAAAGCCCAAAGGGAAUUUUGUCUCCAAAGCGAUGCUGUUUGCAGCCAAAGCUCUGUCUCCUCUCUACCUCCUCUCCUGAUGGAGCUGCAGUCUACAGGAGCAUCCCCCCAGCAAGUGCCCUUGACGUCUACACAAAGCCCAUCCAAUCCUGCUGUGGAUCCCUCGAGCCUCCAAGUUGUAGCAGACUCUUCCAGGCCUCUUCAUGAACAGACCAUCCCAGCAGGAAGUCAUCCAGUGUUCCCAGGACAGCAUAUGUUCGGUCAGCAGCACCACACCUCAGAGCUGGACGGCAGUCCGCUGCUCCACGACCCUGUCUCCACGGGGGCCGCUGGGCGUCCCGGAUGUUCAGGGGACCCCCGGGGGCCCCUCUGCUCUCCACAGAGAAACCUGGGCUUACCCAGCCUGAACAGUAGCCACCCUGCGCCCUUGUGUGUCCCAGGAGAAGCAUCACUGCAGCCGGUGCCAUCUGUCAUUGCACAGCAUCAGCCAUGUGAUACCGAGCCUUUCCAUCCAGACCAAGCCCUCUCUCUUCUACAAACUCCACCUGUUCUCCACCCUAAUCCAGAGCAGAGCAGCCAAUCAUCUUUAAGCCCUGUGCAAGCCCCUCCUUCUGCCUGGCUACCUUCUGUCAGUGUCGAAUCACAGAGCAGCCCUCUGAGCCGACCUGCCCCUAUUUGCUGUGCGGUCAUCAAGCCCAGAAUGGUCCAGAUUUCUCCUAACGUUAGCCAUGUUCUGAGUGAUCGCCCAGUUUUGGCCCACAACAGCUCCUUCAUUAACGUGGCCCGUCCCACGCCCACUCCUGCCGCGCAAGUCCGGCCCAUUGCCAGAGCCGUUGCCACGGGGAUGCCCGGCGCUGCUAGGCAGCAGGCGAGUGCCAGGGCCGGAGUGUGUGCCAGGGCCGUGCCGGAGCCAGUGCUAGCGGGGAAGAGUCGGGGUCAGGAGGUCAAGGAGGAGCCCCAGUCUCCUCUUAGCUCACUCUCCAAGGAAGAGAGGGAGGAGGAAGAGGAGGAGGAGGCCAUUAAGGGGGACACAGACUCUCUCUGCCAGCACCAGACUGACAAUGACAGUAAAGAUGGUGUUCCAGCUUGGUACAGACUACAGCUGGAGAAGCAGAAGCAUCUGAGGCAAAAGCUCAUUGGUCAGAAGGAGGAGAGGAGGCAACUACAGGCUGAGUACAGAAAGAAACAAAGGCAGGACAAGCUCAAGAAUGCUCUCCAAAACCAUGACCAGAAGCCACAGGAUGGUAGACAGGCCCAGAAUAUCAAGAAACCUUCCCAGAAGCCCCCAGCCUCAAACAUACUACCUCUACUCAGACCUCCACCUAAACCAGGCUACCCUCCAGCAGCACCCUUAGCCCAGUGUCCCGCUGCUGCUCCUGCUGCCCUAGUUGAGCGGGCUGCACCGAGGCAUGGCAACCCGUUUCCUUGGCAUGGUUUUCACGGGCGUGGUGAUGAAGGAUCUGGAGUGUUUUCAGGAGUGCCGGGAGAAAGACAUGGCAGGAGGAGGAGGAGGAAGUGGAUGGCAGGGAAGAGAGUGAUGAAAGAGCUGCCAUCUAAAGUGAAGAUGGUUAAACACAGCAAUAUGGAGAAGGAUGAGGAUGAAAUGAACAUGCGGUUUCCAGCCCAGGUCAGUGAAGGCUCUAGGGUGGUUACCUUCACUCAGAUCCCCUGCUUUGGACCACACACACUCAGACAGGUGUGCCCAAACCUCAGGAGAUAAGCUGUCAGCUACCAGCAACAUGACAAGGUUCGCCUAUGUAGUAAGAAGAGGACCAGCCACUGAUCUAACCAGCACCAAGGCACAAAGAUGGGACACCUAAAACUGUUGGACUUUACUCAACAUUAGGACUUAAAUUUGAUAAUUUAAUAAUUGCACUUCAAACCAAAAAGAACCUUAAUAAUAUAUUUAUGGUAUUUAGUAAUGCAGGAUUUCUUAGUUUAGCAAAAAAAAUUUAGGCUCAAAAUAAAGCCUGACCAAUAGAAAAGCUAAAUGAGACA